rnacentral:rRNA from 1 species
GACGAACGCUGGCGGCGUGCUUAACACAUGCAAGUCGAACGGAAAGGCCCUGCUUUUGUGGGGUGCUCGAGUGGCGAACGGGUGAGUAACACGUGAGUAACCUGCCCUUGACUUUGGGAUAACUUCAGGAAACUGGGGCUAAUACCGGAUAGGAGCUCCUGCUGCAUGGUGGGGGUUGGAAAGUUUCGGCGGUUGGGGAUGGACUCGCGGCUUAUCAGCUAGUUGGUGGGGUAGUGGCUUACCAAGGCUUUGACGGGUAGCCGGCCUGAGAGGGUGACCGGCCACAUUGGGACUGAGAUACGGCCCAGACUCCUACGGGAGGCAGCAGUGGGGAAUAUUGCACAAUGGGCGGAAGCCUGAUGCAGCAACGCCGCGUGCGGGAUGACGGCCUUCGGGUUGUAAACCGCUUUCGCCUGUGACGAAGCGUGAGUGACGGUAAUGGGUAAAGAAGCACCGGCUAACUACGU